AAUUUACGAUAUGUUCAUCGCGUAUUCAUCUCCAUGAUACGUCUUCAGGCCUUCUCAUGGUUUCCCUUUUCUAAACACCUUGUCGACUUUUUGUUUCUUGGUUUAGGUUUGAGUGGUUUACUUGUUUUUUUUCUUAUUUCAGGUUUUGGAUGAUGCUUUUAGCCAUCAGUGAAGGGCUUGGACUUGUUUCUUCUCUGUGCUAUAUGUCUACGAAUUCUGAGUUUAACUUUCAGGUUACCUCGGAUAUGUACACCUUUUUGCCUAGCAGUUGUUUUAUUUAUUAUUGGCUACUGUUGGUCCUCUGCCUCUUUUGUUUCCCAGAUGUUCUUGUUGUGUAGACACAUUCAGAUGAGAGAUGACCCACAAGUUCAGUCACAGCUACUUGGAAGAAGGUGAUCACACGUGAAGAAUGGGAGAUGAAACUAAAUGCUGUAAACUCUGGUGAUGAAUAUUCUUGGGACUGAAGGUUAUGUAGAAGCUGCUGAGAAAUUCCAAAGGGAGUCUGAAAUCAGAUGUAUCCUUUUUUGUGAUUCUGUUGAGUGUUUGUGCCCUCUGUUUGGUUUGUGGAAUUUGAGUGUUUGUUUUCUUCCAGCCGAGUUUGUUUUCAUAUCUUUUCAUCUCCUGCAGAAGGCUGGACAUGUGAUAGAUAUUCAGGUUUUGUUCCUUUUUCCCUCUAAAAUCUGUUGCAACAUCUUUUAUGGAGCAGUGAUGGUUCAUGCCUCGAGUGUUUUGGAAGCGGAAGCGAAGUGAAAGCGACAGUGGGAUCAUAGAUUCGCUUCCAAAACGCCUCUUUCUAUUUGUGAAUUACUUCACGAGAAGUAAGCUUUGGAGUUCCUCACUGGUUGACUCAAGGAGUGAUCUCAUAUUCUACUCGCAGUCAGAUGAAAGAUGAUCAUAACUUCGUUUUAAAUGGGUUUGUACUUAUUUUCUGUCCUUUUCAUGAUGGAUGAUAUGUCUACUAAAGUAGUUUUUGUAUUUGAACAUCUUCAAGUCUGAGCUCCUCUUAUGAAGAAAGCUAGACAUGUUGUUAUUCAGGU